rnacentral:rRNA from 1 species
GAUGAACGCUAGCGGGAGGCCUAACACAUGCCAGCCGAGCGGUAGAGUUUCUUCGGAAACUUGAGAGCGGCGCACGGGUGCGUAACACGUGUGCAACCUACCUUUAUCUGGGGGAUAGCCUUUCGAAAGGAAGAUUAAUACCCCAUAAUAUAAUGAUUGGCAUCAAUUAUUAUUGAAAACUCCGGUGGAUAGAGAUGGGCACGCGCAAGAUUAGAUAGUUGGUGAGGUAACGGCUCACCAAGUCAAUGAUCUUUAGGGGUCCUGAGAGGGAGAUCCCCCACACUGGUACUGAGACACGGACCAGACUCCUACGGGAGGCAGCAGUGAGGAAUAUUGGACGAGGGGUGAGAGCCUGAUCCAGCCAUCCCGCGUGAAGGAUGACGGUCCUAUGGAUUGUAAACUUCUUUUGUACAGGGAUAAACCUACCCUCGUGAGGGUAGCUGAAGGUACUGUACGAAUAAGCACCGGCUAACUCCGUG